rnacentral:misc_RNA from 1 species
AUGAGGAUAAUGAAAUGUAGUCGAAUUAAGUCGGGUGAUGCUCAAGCAAUUAGAUUGGGGAAUGAGACAGUUAAAGUAAUAAAGGAGUUCUGCUAUUUGGGGAGCAAAAUAACUGUUGAUGGUAGACACUUCGUCCAGUGUUGCUGUAGCUUUUGAUAUUGUACAAACUGGCAAAGGUUCAGAUUCAUCGUUGUCUUUACUUUCUUCACUUAUCGAUAUCGUCAAUUGAAGACCUCCUACGAUUCCAAUUUUUCUCGAAGUAAGUCCGUGCUCUGUUUACAUUGAAAAAAAUACUCAGCUGAAUAACUUUUGAUCUUUAACCUCCAGAAUUUUUCAGAUGGAACCAAGGGUAGAUAGUGGCCUCCGAGCUGUUUCUUUACUUACAUCUGUACCUUUGUUGAAUUACAUUAUCAUAGUGCAAGUUGGUCAUACAAUUUUGAUGCAAAAGUGAACCUGAAAACAUGAUAAAAUGUGGACGUCUCUGGAGAAAGCUCAGUGUGUGGGGCCUGGUCAUACAAUUUUGAUGCGAAAUGGAACCUGAAAACCUGCUAAAAUGUGGAUACCAGUGGAUAAAGCUCAAUGUGUGUGGCCUGGUAUAUACAGAUGAUAUCAGAUACCGAAGUGCAAUGAUCCUUUCGGACUUGGAAUACAUCAUUUAUGGAAACAGGAGUUCCUGUUACAUAUACAGCACUGGACACUGCUUGUGAGAAAACAUUAUUAAUCAGCAUUGAUGGUGAACUUGGUCCCUAGCACCCACUAGUGGGCGUCUCCACUUCCAUAGCAGGCAGUAGACAGUUGGACCCUAAAAUAUUUAUAUUAGGGUUUCACAAAACUUUGAAAAAAAUAUUUGGUCAUACAAUUUUGAUGCGAAAUGGAACCUGAAAACCUGCUAAAAUGUGGAUACCAGUGGAUAAAGCUCAAUGUGUGUGGCCUGGUAUAUACAGAUGAUAUCAGAUACCGAAGUGCAAUGAUCCUUUCGGACUUGGAAUACAUCAUUUAUGGAAACAGUGCUCACAAGACAUUUACAGUGGGGUGUGCAGUUGAGAACAGUUCUCCAUCUACCCCUCAGCGCGCACCAGAAUUAUUCAAAGUGGGGCACUCUGCCAAUUCUAAGAAGCAGGCCAAAGAUGUCCUGGUAAGCAGCACAUUGUCAAUGCUGCGAGACAAACAAACAGCAAUGAAUGGGAGCAAUGAGGAUGACAAGUUGGGCGAAUAUGUUGCAGCUGAGCUGAUAACAACUAAAAAUAGAAAAUUAAAUGCAGAGGCAAAGUGAAUGUUAUCAUGAAUGCCAUCAU